ACGGGAGGCAGCAGUGGGGAAUAUUGGGCAAUGGGCGAAAGCCUGACCCAGCGACGCCGCGUGAAGGAAGACGGUCCUCGGAUUGUAAACUUCUUUUAUAAGGGACGAAGCAUGACGGUACCUUAUGAAUAAGCCACGGCUAACUACGUGCCAGCAGCCGCGGUAAUACGUAGGUGGCGAGCGUUAUCCGGAUUUACUGGGUGUAAAGGGUGUGUAGGCGGGGCUGCAAGUCAGAUGUGAAAACUAUGGGCUUAACUCAUAGCUUGCAUUUGAAACUGUGGUUCUUGAGGGUCGGAGAGGUAACCGGAAUUCCUGGUGUAGCGGUGAAAUGCGUAGAAAUCAGGAGGAACACCGGUGGCGAAGGCGGGUUACUGGACGAUUACUGACGCUGAGACACGAAAGCGUGGGGAGCAAACAGGAUUAGAUACCCUGGUA
rnacentral:rRNA from 1 species